GGAUUUGCAUGCGGCCGCCGCGGCCGCUGCCUGCGCCCGAGCCCGCCGCCGCCGCCGGAGCCCGCGCCCGCGCCCGCGCCCGGCCCGCGCGGCCCCAUGCCUCUGCCGCGGCCCUCGGGGGGGCGAAGGUGAAGACCGGCUCCUAGGAUGAGUGAAGGGGCGGCCGCUGCCUCGCCACCUGGUGCCGCUUCGGCAGCCGCCGCCUCGGCCGAGGAGGGCACCGCGGCGGCUGCGGCGGCGGCAGCGGCGGGCGGGGGCCCGGACGGCGGCGGCGAAGGGGCGGCCGAGCCCCCCCGGGAGUUACGCUGUAGCGACUGCAUCGUGUGGAACCGGCAGCAGACGUGGCUGUGCGUGGUACCUCUGUUCAUCGGCUUCAUCGGCCUGGGGCUCAGCCUCAUGCUUCUCAAAUGGAUCGUGGUGGGCUCCGUCAAGGAGUACGUGCCCACCGACCUAGUGGACUCCAAGGGGAUGGGCCAGGACCCCUUCUUCCUCUCCAAGCCCAGCUCUUUCCCCAAGGCCAUGGAGACCACCACCACUACCACUUCCACCACGUCCCCCGCCACCCCCUCCGCCGGGGGUGCCGCCUCCUCCAGGACGCCCAACCGGAUUAGCACUCGCCUGACCACCAUCACGCGGGCGCCCACUCGCUUCCCCGGGCACCGGGUGCCCAUCCGGGCCAGCCCGCGCUCCACCACAGCACGGAACACUGCGGCCCCUGCGACGGUCCCGUCCACCACGGCCCCGUUCUUCAGUAGCAGCACGCUGGGCUCCCGACCCCCGGUGCCAGGAACUCCAAGUACCCAGGCAAUGCCCUCCUGGCCUACUGCGGCAUACGCUACCUCCUCCUACCUUCACGAUUCUACUCCCUCCUGGACCCUGUCUCCCUUUCAGGAUGCUGCCUCCUCUUCUUCCUCUUCUUCCUCCUCCGCUACCACCACCACACCAGAAACUAGCACCAGCCCCAAAUUUCAAAUUUUCCUAGCAGAGCACACGAGGAUGAAAAAGAAUCAGAUGGGAGAUGAGGAUCAGGACUCUUUCUGUGAAUCGGAACCUCUCUGCUCUGCUCCUUUUCUGGUUUCCUCUGUCUGUCCUUCUCUUGUCUCCAUUAUUCAUCCUGUUUCUGCCUUGAUGUCAUCUUGUUGGAUGUCCCAUCUCACUUAGUCGUCUGUAAUUUAUACGACGACAUAUUCCACAGAGCGAUCCGAGCACUUCAAACCCUGCCGAGACAAGGACCUUGCAUACUGUCUCAAUGAUGGCGAGUGCUUUGUGAUCGAAACCCUGACCGGAUCCCAUAAACACUGUCGGUGCAAAGAAGGCUACCAAGGAGUCCGUUGUGAUCAAUUUCUGCCGAAAACUGAUUCCAUCUUAUCGGAUCCAAACCACUUGGGGAUUGAAUUCAUGGAGAGUGAAGAAGUUUAUCAAAGGCAGGUGCUGUCAAUUUCAUGUAUCAUCUUUGGAAUUGUCAUCGUGGGCAUGUUCUGUGCAGCAUUCUACUUCAAAAGCAAGAAACAAGCUAAACAAAUCCAAGAGCAGCUGAAAGUGCCACAAAAUGGUAAAAGCUACAGUCUCAAAGCAUCCAGCACAAUGGCAAAGUCAGAGAACUUGGUGAAGAGCCAUGUCCAGCUGCAAAAUUAUUCAAAGGUGGAAAGGCAUCCUGUGACUGCAUUGGAGAAAAUGAUGGAGUCAAGUUUUGUCGGCCCCCAGUCAUUCCCUGAGGUCCCUUCUCCUGACAGAGGAAGCCAGUCUGUCAAACACCACAGGAGUCUAUCCUCUUGCUGCAGCCCAGGGCAAAGAAGUGGCAUGCUCCAUAGGAAUGCCUUCAGAAGGACACCCCCGUCACCCCGAAGUAGGCUAGGUGGAAUUGUGGGACCAGCAUAUCAGCAACUCGAAGAAUCAAGGAUCCCAGACCAGGAUACGAUACCUUGCCAAGGGUAUUCAUCCAGUGGUUUAAAAACCCAACGAAAUACAUCAAUAAAUAUGCAACUGCCUUCAAGAGAGACAAACCCCUAUUUUAAUAGCUUGGAGCAAAAGGACCUGGUGGGCUAUUCAUCCACAAGGGCCAGUUCUGUGCCCAUCAUCCCUUCAGUGGGUUUAGAGGAAACCUGCCUGCAAAUGCCAGGGAUUUCUGAAGUCAAAAGCAUCAAAUGGUGCAAAAACUCCUAUUCAGCUGACGUUGUCAAUGUGAGUAUUCCAGUCAGCGAUUGUCUUAUAGCAGAACAACAAGAAGUGAAAAUAUUGCUAGAAACUGUCCAGGAGCAGAUCCGAAUUCUGACUGAUGCCAGACGGUCAGAAGACUACGAACUGGCCAGCGUAGAAACCGAGGACAGUGCAAGCGAAAACACAGCCUUUCUCCCCCUGAGUCCCACAGCCAAAUCAGAACGAGAGGCGCAAUUUGUCUUAAGAAAUGAAAUACAAAGAGACUCUGCAUUGACCAAGUGACUUGAGAUGUAGGAAUCUGUGCAUUCUAUGCUUUGCUCAACAGGAAAGAGAGGAAAUCAAAUACAAAUUAUUUAUAUGCAUUAAUUUAAGAGCAUCUACUUAGAAGAAACCAAAUAGUCUAUCGCCCUCAUAUCAUAGUGUUUUUUAACAAAAUAUUUUUUUAAGGGAAAGAAAUGUUUCAGGAGGGAUAAAGCUUACCAUUAAAGCUUUUGGGUAGAAUUCUGAAUCCAAUUUCGUUUAGUCCCAACACUGUCCUCUUUGGCUCUUAGAAGAUGUGGGCAAUUCAGACCCUUGGCCCCACAGUGCCAGUGUCUCAUUAAAAAACACUGGCAGUUACCUGGUUUCAAAAAGAGGAGAGCUGCAUCCCGCAGGUGGAUGCACCAGUGAGCAGGUGGCUCUUGCCAUUUGGCUUGCCAGUCCCAAGCCCUAAAUUUCUAUUCACCCAAUAGCCUCAUCACAGGUUAUGUCAUGUCGACACAUGUAGUGUUUUCUAUUUGAUUUUUGGAGAAUGCCACAAAAGACUCUGCAAUGGGAAGGAGGACAGGAGAUAGAAGGAGAAACCGGGGGCAAUCUUAACUACUCUUGUGUGCCACCUUCCUCUGAGAUUUGAAUGCACAGAUCUCAGCUGGAGGUAUGAAAUUAUUACAGAAAAAGAGACAAAAAAAUCCUUAUAUCGUGUCACUAAAAUCAUGCUAAUAGAAAUGUUUUUCCUUGAGAUUGUUUAGAGGCUCUGGAGGAGCGUUUCUCAGUUUUUGUGUGCCUGUGUGCACAUGUGUGUGCGAGCGUGUGUGUGUGUGGACUUGCUCACGCGGGCACAUAUGCUGUAAGCACAUGUGUUCAUUGUGCGUAUGUGUGUGCAUGUGUGCGCGUAUUACGCUUGCUAAAAUUUGUUCUGAAACAUCAGGGAAUCUACUAUUCAGAAAAAUUAUUUCCCUCUUAGAUCUUUUCACUUUAAAUUUUUCCAUUAAGUAUAAAGUUCAGUUAGUUCUUAAAUCAAGGUCACUUGCAUGGUGGGGUCGUAUAAAACUCUUGACACUGUCUAGACCAUUUUCUGAUGUGAAUACUUUUGAGAGGAUCAACUAUUGGCUCAUUAAUGAUAUCAGUAUCAUAAGGUGAGUUCAUCAAGGAUGUGUGUUUAUUUUGAAUCAUGCCUACUUAAAUUAUUAAUACAAGACAAUUAACAAAUUGACAGUUACCAUUUGCUUUCUCAUCAUCCUCAUUACCAUUUAUUUUAUAGCAAGUCUGCUAUGUGUGGACCAAGGCUUCGGCUUCUGUGGUUAGUAUGGGAAGAAUAAAUUGUUGAAAUAAAAAUACCCAGACUAUUCAGUUCACAAGAAGCCCCCCAAAAGAACAGUAAAUUGUGUUGUAUGUUCAUUUGGAAUAAAGCAAUAUUUUUACCACUGCUAAGGUGAACUGAAACCUCUCCUGAAGAUUUGUCUGUUUAUUUACCCUCACUUUCAUGGGACAUAUGAGGAAAUUAGUGUUCACAUAUCCAGUCUUUUUCCAAUUAUUGGUGGUGUUGAGUUGUUAUGUUUACACUGUUUUAAAUAAAAAGGCACCGUAUUUGAAAGCA